UAGGGAAUCUUCGGCAAUGGACGAAAGUCUGACCGAGCAACGCCGCGUGAGUGAAGAAGGUUUUCGGAUCGUAAAACUCUGUUGUUAGAGAAGAACAAGGACGUUAGUAACUGAACGUCACCUGACGGUAUCUAACCAGAAAGCCACGGCUAACUACGUGCCAGCAGCCGCGGUAAUACGUAGGUGGCAAGCGUUGUCCGGAUUUAUUGGGCGUAAAGCGAGCGCAGGCGGUUUCUUAAGUCUGAUGUGAAAGCCCCCGGCUCAACCGGGGAGGGUCAUUGGAAACUGGGAGACUUGAGUGCAGAAGAGGUGAGUGGAAGUCCAUGUGUAGCGGUGAAAUGCGUAGAUAUAUGGAGGAACACCAGUGGCGAAGGCGGCUCUCUGGUCUGUAACUGACGCUGAGGCUCGAAAGCGUGGGGAGCAAACGGG
rnacentral:rRNA from 1 species